rnacentral:snRNA from 2 species
AAGUGUUACAGCUCUUUAAGAAUUUCUCUAGCAGGCUUUCCAGUUUUUAACCAGAAAACCGUU